rnacentral:rRNA from 1 species
GACGAACCGUGCGAACGUUGUUCGGAUUCACUGGGCUUAAAGGGCGCGUAGGCGGGCGACCCGGUCGGUGGUGAAAUCUUUCGGCUCAACCGGAAGAGGGCCUCCGAUACCGGUCGCCUCGAGGGAGGUAGGGCAUGCGGAACUUCCGGUGGAGCGGUGAAAUGCGUAGAUAUCGGAAGGAACGCCGGUGGCGAAAGCGGCGUGCUGGACCUCUUCUGACGCUGAGGCGCGAAAGCCAGGGGAGCGAACGGG